rnacentral:rRNA from 1 species
GUGGCCGCGAAGAUGGGCGCACGGUGGAUGCCUUGGCGUUGGCGGCCGACGAAGGACGUGGCCACGCGACGAAAUGCCCCGGGGAGGCGCUGGCAGCCCGCGAUCCGGGGGUCUCCGAAUGGGGCAACCCGCCCGGCGCUCGGCCGGGCACCCGGGAAAUCCGGGGGGGCACCGGGGGAACUGAAACAUCUCAGUACCCCGAGGAACAGAGAGGAUUCCCUUAGUAGCGGCGAGCGAACGGGGAGGAGCCCAAACCCGCGCGGCGUCAGGAGGCUGCCGCCGCUGCCGCGCGGGGGUUGGACGGGCGCGCCGGAGGGGACGGCAGUCCCUUCGCGCGCGGUUCGGGCGUUGACCGAAGGCCGCUGGAACGGGCCGCCGCAGCGGGUGAGAGCCCCGUAGGUCGAAGCGCUCGGGCGCGCGUGGGCGCGUCGCGUGAGUACCGCCGGACACGUGACAUCCGGUGGGAAGCGGGGCGGACCACCGCCCAAGGCUAAAUACCGCCAACGACCGAUAGCGAACCAGUACCGUGAGGGAACGGUGAAAAGCACCCCGGUGAGGGGAGUGAAACAGACCCUGAAACCGUGCGCCUCCGGCCGGUCGGAGCCCCGCUUGUCGGGGUGACGGCGUGCCUUUUGUAGAAUGAGCCGACGAGUGCUACGGGGCGGCGAGGCUAAGCCAGCAGUCAGGCGGAGCCGGAGCGAACGCGAGUCCGAAAGGGCGACGAGUCGUCCCGUAUCGACCCGAAACCGGGUGAUCUACCCAUGGCCAGGCUGAAGCGGGCGGAACACGCUCGUGGAGGGCCGAACCCGGGCAUGUUGCAAAAUGCCGGGAUGAGCUGUGGGUAGCGGUGAAAUGCCAAGCGAACCCGGAGAUAGCUGGUUCUCCCCGAAAUGCAUUUAGGUGCAGCCCCCACGAGGGGGCGCCGCGGAGGUAGCGCGCUGGAUCGGCUAGGGGGCUUGCCGCUUACCGAACCGAACCAAACGACGAAUGCCGCGGCGCGUGCGUGGGGCGUGAGACGGCGGGAGCUAAGUUCCGUCGUCGAGAGGGAAACAGCCCAGACCGCCGGCUAAGGUCCCGAAGUCCAGGCUAAGUGGGCAAGGCGGUCACGGCGCGUAGACAACCAGGAGGUUGGCUUAGAAGCAGCCACCCUUUAAAGAGUGCGUAAUAGCUCACUGGUCGAUCGUGCCGUGGCACCGACAAUCCACCGGGGCUCAAGCCUGGCACCGAAGCCGCGGAUGGCGCGAGCCAUGGUAGGGGAGCGUCCCCGUCGGCGGCGAAGCGGCGGCGGAAGCCGGCCGUGGAGCGGCGGGGAGUGCGAAUGUCGGCAUGAGUAGCGAGAGGGGGGUGCGAAUCCCCCCCACCGAAUGCCCGAGGGUUCCGCAGCCAUGCUGAUCAGCUGCGGGUGAGGCGGGCCUAAGCCGAGGGCGGAAGCCGUAGGCGAUGGACAACGGGUUCAGAUUCCCGUCCCGCGAGCGCGCGUUACGAGCGACGGGGGGACGCGGGGGGCUAGGUCCCGGGGGGCGACCCCUCCAAGCCUGUAGGGAGCCGGGGUAGGCAAAUCCGCCCCGGCGACGACCGAGGGGUGAGCGUAAGGGGAGGGCUCCGGCCCGAACCGUGGGGAUUGACGCCGUACCGCCAAGAAAAGCCUCUAGCCAGCGCGUUUCGCGCCCGUACCGCAAACCGACACAGGUGGGCUGGUCGAGUAGACCAAGGUGGACGAGAGAACCUCCGUCAAGGAACUCGGCAAAUUGGCCCCGUAACUUCGGGAGAAGGGGCGCCCCGCGUAGCGUGAGCGGGCUUGCCCCGGGAGCGCGAGGGGGCCGCAGUGACCAGGCCCAGGCGACUGUUUACCAAAAACACCGGUCCCUGCCAACGCGUCAAGCGUGGACGUAUAGGGGCUGAGACCUGCCCAGUGCCGGAAGGUUAAGGGGAGGGCUGCGAGGCCCGAACCGAAGCCCCGGUAAACGGCGGCCGUAACUAUAACGGUCCUAAGGUAGCGAAAUUCCUUGUCGGGUAAGUUCCGACCCGCACGAAAGGUAGAACGAUCUGGGCGCUGUCUCGACGGGGGACUC